rnacentral:rRNA from 1 species
GAUGAACGCUGGCGGCGUGCUUAACACAUGCAAGUCGAGCGGGCAAUUUAUCUAGCACUGAUUACUUCAAAUGGCUAUCGCCAGUGUAAUCAUGAAUUUCUACCUUUAAUAAAGAAAAAAGAAAUUCAUGUACGCAAAUAGUGAUAACACAUUUUAGUGGAGUGAUGAGUGCUGGAUAAAUUGCUAGCGGCGGACGGGUGCGUAACACGUGGGUAACCUGCCCCUAUCACUGGGAUAACACACUGAAAAGUGUGCUAAUACCAGAUAACAUAAGCUUUUGGCAUCAUUAGCUUAUCAAAGAAUUUCGGAUAGGGAUGGGCCCGCGUCUGAUUAGCUAGUUGGUGAGGUAACGGCUCACCAAGGCAACGAUCAGUAGCCGACCUGAGAGGGUGAUCGGCCACACUGGAACUGAGACACGGUCCAGACUCCUA